CACGUAGGGGGCGAGCGUUGUCCGGAUUUAUUGGGCGUAAAGAGCGUGUAGGCGGUUCGGUUAGUCGGAUGUGAAAGUCCGGGGCUCAACCCCGGGAUGCCAUUCGAAACUGCCGGACUAGAGGCAGGUAGGGGAGAGUGGAAUAUCUGGUGUAGCGGUGAUAUGCGCAGAUAUCAGAUGGAACACCGAUGGCGAAGGCAGCUCUCUGGGCCUGUCCUGACGCUGAGACGCGAAAGCGUGGGUAGCGAACAGG
rnacentral:rRNA from 1 species